CCUUCCCGGGGAACGUUGGCGACUCCCGCGAAGGUUCGGCCGCCGAGCCCGGGGCAGAGCUCCAGAGGCCGGGGGUGACAGCGGCAACGCUCCCGGUGCCGUGAGACCCGGGAAGAGCCUGCUGUCUCCGGAGAUUCGGGCUGCAGGUCCGCGGCCUGGCGGGCGGCGGCGGUCGGUGUCGCUGCCCGGCCGGGUGGACCAGCGCGCCGCGGGGCCCCUUCUGCCCGCGGGCACCGCCGGGCAGCUGAGCGCGAGCAGGAAAGGUCACGGCGCCGGCGUCCGCGGGGUUACACCUUCUCCAUGUUUCCCACGCGCCCGGAGGUGCGGACCACACGGACGCACGCAGACAUGUCCAGUCUUCCCAGCCUCCCCCAUGGACCCCGAUAGUCCCGAUUCACAAACGUGUGUCCUCUCCCCGGAGAGGGCCGGCCCUGGUGUCCAGAACCGGAGGCACCGCAAGGGACCACGGGCCGCCCGUCCUCCUCCCCGAAGUGCGCCGGAAGCGCUUCCUUGCCUCCUUGGGGGAACGGUCGUCCCGCUGCCUUCACGGUCGUCCCCCAGGCGGCCACGGUUCCCGGUGACGUGCUCAGGACUCCGCAGACGGGUUUCCUGCAGGUCGGGCUGCACCUAUUCCAGGGGCGCCAGGAGUCCCUUCUAUUCUCCUCGGGCUCAGAAGUGGAAAGGAUGGUGUCCGUGUGGAGGCGCUGUGUUUCCCGGAAACACUGUUUCAAGUUUAUCCACAGAGUAUCCAAUUGAAGACGACCAGAGAAGGAUGUCGAAGUGAAGAACUUUCUUAACACACUGGGAAGUUGGGGACCCUCUCCUUCCAGCCACGAGGUCCUGCCCUGCAGCAACCGACCUGGAAAACCAGACCCCAGCCCCUGCAGCAGUGGGCUCCAGGAUUCAGUGCAUGGUCAGUGACUGUCACCUUCCUUAUUUUUCUUCCUUUCAAUUUAGUACCAAAUGGGGGAAGCCAAAUCUCAUCUAAGCUGUCACCUGGGACGGCCCUCUUCCUGCCAGCCUGCCUCUGGCUUCCCCAUAUUACACGCUCUGAGCAGGACACGCUUUCCUUCUUUCCCACCAGAGCAUGUCCCCACUCCUCUGUGUGCCCUGAGUCUCAGCCUAGGCGAGUGGUGGUGGCUGACUCCUUGCUCUGGAGACAAAUUCUGAAGAAACAGUGAAGGAUCAGGAAAAUAUCCUGGAGUAGGAAAUGGCCACCCACUCCAGUAUUCUUGCCUGGAAAAUUCCAUGAACAGAGGAGCCUGGCUAUCUGCAGGCCGUGGGGUCACAAAGAGUCAAACACGACUGAGCAUGCACACACAGACACAGGCAUGUUUGUUUAUGUCUACAGAGCUUAGAGUGAGAACCAAAUAAAGCACUGAGAAUAAUAUGUGGGUUUUGUUAU
rnacentral:lncRNA from 1 species